rnacentral:rRNA from 1 species
UACGGGGGGGGCAAGCGUUGUUCGGAAUUACUGGGCGUAAAGGGCGCGUAGGCGGCCUGCUAAGUCGGACGUGAAAUCCCUCGGUUCAACCGGGGAAUUGCGUCCGAUACUGGUGGGCUCGAAUCCGGGAGAGGGAUGUGGAAUUCCAGGUGUAGCGGUGAAAUGCGUAGAUAUCUGGAGGAACACCGGUGGCGAAGGCGGCAUCCUGGACCGGUAUUGACGCUGAGGCGCGAAAGCCAGGGGAGCAAACGGG